CAUCUCACACACAACUAUGACCUUACCUCUUUUCAUCAUCAAGAAUCAGCUACCAUUAUCCCCAUUUUAACAGAUGAGGGAACUGAGGCUUACACAGUUUAAGUUAUUUACUUGCCCAAGGACACAAAUUAGGAACUGGUGCAACUCAUACCUGACCCUACACCUAACACCAAAGCCCAUACUGCCUUACCAUGCAGAGCUUCUAGAGUGCUUAAACUCCUGGCAAUUUCAUUUCAGCCAAAUGAUCUGCAAUCUGUAAAAUCUGAUACUUUACAUAUGCUUACUACAGUUUUUGUUUGAAGACUGACAUUCUUCCAUCAUCAGAAAGGUUCCUUCUUCUUCAGGAAAAGAAUGACAAACUCUUCAAAUAUUUUUGAAAUCAGCAUGACUUGCUUGUGGGGCUCUAAGGUUUGUUCUUGCUUUUAGAACACUGGAAGAUACUUGAGUAUCAGAACUGGAUGGCAGUACUUAUAUAC
rnacentral:lncRNA from 1 species